rnacentral:rRNA from 1 species
UGGGGAAUUUUGGACAAUGGGGGAAACCCUGAUCCAGCCAUCCCGCGUGUGCGAUGAAGGCCUUCGGGUUGUAAAGCACUUUUGGCAGGAAAGAAACGUCAUGGGUUAAUACCCCGUGAAACUGACGGUACCUGCAGAAUAAGCACCGGCUAACUACGUGCCAGCAGCCGCGGUAAUACGUAGGGUGCAAGCGUUAAUCGGAAUUACUGGGCGUAAAGCGUGCGCAGGCGGUUCGGAAAGAAAGAUGUGAAAUCCCAGAGCUCAACUUUGGAACUGCAUUUUUAACUACCGGGCUAGAGUGUGUCAGAGGGAGGUGGAAUUCCGCGUGUAGCAGUGAAAUGCGUAGCUAUGCGGAGGAACACCGAUGGCGAAGGCAGCCUCCUGGGAUAACACUGCCGCUCAUGCACGAAAGCGUGGGGAGCAAACAGG